UACAGAGGGUGCAAGCGUUGUUCGGAAUUAUUGGGCGUAAAGGGCGCGUAGGCGGUUCGGCAAGUCUCUAGUGAAAUCCCCGGGCUCAACCUGGGAACUGCAUCUGUGACUGCAUUGCUGGAGUGCGGCAGAGGGGGAUGGAAUUCCGCGUGUAGCAGUGAAAUGCGUAGAUAUGCGGAGGAACACCGAUGGCGAAGGCAGCUCUCUGGGACGGUACUGACGCUGAGACGCGAAAGCGUGGGGAGCGAACAGG
rnacentral:rRNA from 1 species